GACGUCACCCGACAUCCAGGCUUUAGCCAACGGAAAAUCCAGGUCCUCAGACUCACCAUCGCUGCACCGGUACCGACAGAGUCCGUCAUCUCCGCCGAACAGGUCCAGCGCUGCGUUCAGGAGGGGAAGCCACCGCCGAAGAACAUGUUGAAGAGGUCUUCAGGCGUGAUGUCGGCCUCGAAGCCCCGGUGGAAGUCGAAGCCGCCGCCGCCGUGGGAUUGGCUGGG